UCAAACCCUCACUUGAUUCCAAUGUGAAAUGAAGACAUGAUACUUUAAAAAUGAGAAAAAGUUCCUGAUAAGCUGUGGGGGUGCUUCACUUGCCAGCUCAUGCCCAUUCCCUCUGAAACAAGGUGUCUGGUACCCAUUAGCAGCUCUCUGCAAAGCCCCAGGUAGAGGUCACAGCCAGACAGGCUCCCUCAGGUUCACAGGGUAGCAAGCUCCUCCCCAAGUCCAGGCUUCCACAGCAGGUACUUGAGGAUCUCGGAGCUUUCCUUCUCGUGGUUCUCACCCAAAAACAGGGGAGAGAGCAGAGGCAGGAAAGGAUUAGCUGCCUACAGCCUACAGGCGCAGCUCAACCCAACGGCCCUUCCACAGCCCACCUGGGCCUUAUAGAUGGUGUCAAAUUCCUUCUUCUGCUACAAGCCGGACCAGAACUCAGCUUUGCUCUC
rnacentral:antisense_RNA from 1 species